UCAGUGUUUGGAGACCCCUGUGGUGACACUUACAAGUACCUGGAGGUGGUUUAUGACUGUCAGAAGAGUGAAGCUACAUCAAGUCCUCCUCCAACUACUGUGACAGAAGGAACUUCCAGAGUGAGUGAAGCUACAUCAAGUCCUCCUCCAACUACUGUGACAGAAGG